rnacentral:rRNA from 1 species
UACGUAGGGUGCGAGCGUUGUCCGGAAUUACUGGGCGUAAAGAGCUCGUAGGUGGUUUGUCGCGUUGUUCGUGAAAACUCACAGCUCAACUGUGGGCGUGCGGGCGAUACGGGCAGACUGGAGUACUGCAGGGGAGACUGGAAUUCCUGGUGUAGCGGUGGAAUGCGCAGAGUAUCAGGAGGAACACCGGUGGCGAAGGCGGGUCUCUGGGCAGUAACUGACGCUGAGGAGCGAAAGCGUGGGGAGCGAACAGG